rnacentral:rRNA from 1 species
AUGCAGAAUCGUUUCGGUCUACUUGACACGGACGUGAUGCCUAUGUUCAUGAUCAUUGCCUUAGAUGUCUUCAUAAUUAUGUGCUUUUCUAUCAAUUGCUCGGCAGUAAUUUGUUCACCCACCGUAAUACAUGCUAUCUUGAGAGAAGCCACUAGUGAAACCUAUGGCCCCCGGGUCUCUUUCCUAUUAUAUUACAUAUAUUUUAUUUACAUCGCAUCUCGUUUACUAUUUUGCAAUCUUUACUUUCCAAUCUAUACAACAAAAAUACAAAAAAUAUUUACUUUACUAUCUCUAUCAGAUCACACUUUUGCGAGUGACCGUGAAGGGAUUGACAACCCCUUUAUCGCGUUGGUUGCAAGGUUCUUGAUUGUUUGUGCAGGUACUAGGUGA